CUGGUGUCAACGGUUUACGGGCGUUUGGCCCGGUUCUGUGACGAAGGGGACGGGGGACCCAUGGGCCCACACCCCGGGAAAAGGGAAAAGGGAAAAAAGGGUAAGGAGAUGGCCCUGAGAGCAAAGAACAGUGGCAACAAUCUGAGGAGAAACAAACUAAUUUACUAAAUAAGAUAUUGGAAUGCAAAACAACACACUAUACUACAAUAUAAUUACAAUUUAAGCUGAUAAAUCCAAUACAGAGAGAGAGAAUGUCCCAAAAUGAAGGUAGGCCUUACUCUACGACCGACGAUAAGACGGCUGGAGAGCGAGGUGCUGCCAAGAUGAGAGACGGGCGGAAAAAGGGACGAGGUCUCGUGAUCUGCAAGCUUUUAUACUGCGAGCUUCUAUCUUUUCCCUCCGGCCAGAAAAUGGUAACAGAGGAGCAAAGUACCGUGGGGACUGUAGUAGUCCUUCUCUUCUGAGAACCAGGUACAUCCACUACAUGAUGUUAUGAUGUGGAAUACCAAUAACCGAAAAUCACAAAACCAUGACAUCAGGAUAAUUAUACGCUACAGUGUCUCAGUCCUCCUGCAGAAAAUUUCAGUCAAGCUUUCCAAAGCUGGCAGUGCUGGGGUUAAGGCUGCCUGUAUGUUCAUGCUAAAAAUCCACUGUUAAUUUGAUGAUCAGACACCGCUCCUUGGGACCUUGCCUCACCCAGGGCACUGGAUGGAUCGUGUGCACUUAAUGAGCAGCUACUUGGUAUUUUUCGCUCCGUUGUUCAGAGUGUGUCUCCGUGCUUUAUUGACUGCAUACUAUCCGCAUUGAAGGCAAUUACUUUCCUCAUGAGUUUUUCUGUGCUGCUUAUCACUAUAGUAACUGCCUGCUUCACAAAUACUAACUAAUCUGUUCUCUCACUUCCCUUCUGAGAGAGCAGGCCCCUACCUGUGUUCAUGACUGAGGAGCUGAGGAACGAAGAGCAGGAGCUGACGAGAAGUCACUGAGUUCAAGUGUCCAAAUGCAGCAGGACUUCCCAUCUCACAGCACCUGGGGAUGUGCAACACCAGGCAAGCCCCAGCUCCAGCUCAUCCUGCCCUUACUUCUGCACCGCCUCUUCCUGACAUGCACCUGCCCUCAGCCACGCUGCCAGCUGGUCCCGUGCCUCAUGCACUGUGUAGCACACUUUCCGUGCGCUGCCAUGUACUGCAGGGACAAGGAGAUGGCAGCAGAUAAAGUGGUACAGUGAACUUAAAAGACUGCCAAAUAAAUGUCACAAGCCACAAAACA
rnacentral:lncRNA from 1 species